GGGCAAAAAUUGGAUCGCUAACCAUGCGAGUCGAGAGGGUUCGGCCCUCGGCUGACGGCUCAGUAACACGUGGAUCAUUUGCCCUUAGGUGGAGGAUAACCUCGGGAAACUGAGAAUACCACUCCAUAGGUCUAGGAUGCUGGAAUGCACUUAGAUCAAAAGUUCCGGCGCCUAAGGAUGAGUCUGCGGACUAUCCCGUUGUAGUCAGGGUAAUGACCUGACUAGCCAACGACGGAUAUGGGUUGUGAGAGCAAUAACCCAGAGAUGAUAUCUGAGACACGAUAUCAGGCCCUACGGGGCGCAGCAGGCGCGAAAACUUCACAAUGCGCGAAAGCGCGAUGAGGGAAUCCCAAGUGCUUGCACGUAAGUGUAAGCUGUUUCUUUGUUUAAAAUGCAUUGAGAGUAAGGGCUGGGUAAGACGGGUGCCAGCCGCCGCGGUAAUACCUGCAGCUCAAGUGGUAGUCGCUAUUAUUGGGCCUAAAACGUUCGUAGCCGGUUUAAUAAAUGCCUGGGUAAAUCGUAUGGCUCAACUAUACGAAUUCCGGGUAGACUGUUAAACUUGAGACCGGGAGAAGUCGGAGGUACUCCUGGGGUAGAGGUGAAAUUCUGUAAUCCUAGGGGGACCACCAGUGGCGAAGGCGUCCGACUAGAACGGGUCUGACGGUGAGGGACGAAGCCCUGGGGCGCAAACCGGAUUAGAUACCCGGGUAGUCCAGGGUGUAAACGCUGCUUGCUUGAUGUUAGUUGGGCUCCGAGCCCAAUUAGUGUCGGAGAGAAGUUGUUAAGCAAGCUGCCUGGGA
rnacentral:rRNA from 1 species